rnacentral:rRNA from 1 species
GACGAACGCUGGCGGCGUGCUUAACACGUGCAAGUCGAACGGAAAGGCCCUGCUUUUGUGGGGUGCUCGAGUGGCGAACGGGUGAGUAACACGUGAGUAACCUGCCCUUGACUUUGGGAUAACUUCAGGAAACUGGGGCUAAUACCGGAUAGGAGCUCCUGCUGCAUGGUGGGGGUUGGAAAGUUUCGGCGGUUGGGGAUGGACUCGCGGCUUAUCAGCUUGUUGGUGGGGUAGUGGCUUACCAAGGCUUUGACGGGUAGCCGGCCUGAGAGGGUGACCGGCCACAUUGGGACUGAGAUACGGCCCAGACUCCUACGGGAGGCAGCAGUGGGGAAUAUUGCACAAUGGGCGGAAGCCUGAUGCAGCAACGCCGCGUGCGGGAUGACGGCCUUCGGGUUGUAAACCGCUUUCGCCUGUGACGAAGCGUGAGUGACGGUAAUGGGUAAAGAAGCACCGGCUAACUACGUGCCAGCAGCCGCGGUGAUACGUAGGGUGCGAGCGUUGUCCGGAUUUAUUGGGCGUAAAGGGCUCGUAGGUGGUUGAUCGCGUCGGAAGUGUAAUCUUGGGGCUUAACCCUGAGCGUGCUUUCGAUACGGGUUGACUUGAGGAAGGUAGGGGAGAAUGGAAUUCCUGGUGGAGCGGUGGAAUGCGCAGAUAUCAGGAGGAACACCAGUGGCGAAGGCGGUUCUCUGGGCCUUUCCUGACGCUGAGGAGCGAAAGCGUGGGGAGCGAACAGGCUUAGAUACCCUGGUAGUCCACGCUGUAAACGGUGGGUACUAGGUGUGGGGUCCAUUCCACGGGUUCCGUGCCGUAGCUAACGCUUUAAGUACCCCGCCUGGGGAGUACGGCCGCAAGGCUAAAACUCAAAGGAAUUGACGGGGCCCCGCACAAGCGGCGGAGCAUGCGGAUUAAUUCGAUGCAACGCGUAGAACCUUACCUGGGUUUGACAUGGAUCGGGAGUGCUCAGAGAUGGGUGUGCCUCUUUUGGGGUCGGUUCACAGGUGGUGCAUGGCUGUCGUCAGCUCGUGUCGUGAGAUGUUGGGUUAAGUCCCGCAACGAGCGCAACCCUUGUUCACUGUUGCCAGCACGUUAUGGUGGGGACUCAGUGGAGACCGCCGGGGUCAACUCGGAGGAAGGUGGGGAUGACGUCAAGUCAUCAUGCCCCUUAUGUCCAGGGCUUCACGCAUGCUACAAUGGCUGGUACAGAGAGUGGCGAGCCUGUGAGGGUGAGCGAAUCUCGGAAAGCCGGUCUCAGUUCGGAUUGGGGUCUGCAACUCGACCUCAUGAAGUCGGAGUCGCUAGUAAUCGCAGAUCAGCAACGCUGCGGUGAAUACGUUCCCGGG